GGGUAUCUUAAAACAUUAUGAGGGACAGAGGGAUAUCAUUAGCUCCUCAACAUGUAUUAUUUUUUGCAACUGCUACAAACUAUCAUGGGACUGAAGAAGAAGGGAAGAAGGUGAACAGAUCUUGUGGUGUUGCUGUGUCUCCUCCAGCCAGUCUGUCCCUGUUGUUAUUCCAGCAUCCAAAGGGAACAGGAGCUGAACCACGACCGUUUUCCUGCAGCAGAAGCUGAGUACCCGCUGGCCUCCUGAAUACAAAAAUGAAGUUUCAUACUGUUUCCUUUGAAUGGAAGCAGCAUGACGUGAGUGUGGAAAGAGUGGAACAGUAUGUUAAGGGAAACACAACUGAAAGGAGCUGAGCUGACUCCAAGGGCUGAGCAGAUCUGCCCCCUCUGCUUCACUGUCAACACUGGCCUGAGUGGUGCUAGGCUUAAAUCAGCACAAGAAAUGGUUUGUGUCAAAGAAGACUGGUCCACAACCCUCUCCUGUUGUUAAAAGGCACCUCUGCCUCCUGGUCAAAACAGCACCUUGUUUGCUCUCAGCAAUUUGGAAACCCAAAGCUGUGUUCCUGCUGCCAGGGUUUUGUACUAGAGCACUGCAACUGCUUGGCACCAGCAGCCCCAUGCAGGAGUUUGGAGAUUCUGGCAUUUCGUGCAGAUUAUUAAGUGCUGAUCGAAGGGCAGCUGAAACUGGAACUCAGCUCUGGGUGGGAGGCAGCAGCUC